CACAUGGCCUGGCACGCGCAUCUAUUCUCCCCCACUUCGCCACUGUGCUUGUUCAUUCAUUAUUGCAUGCCAGCAAACGAGAAAUGUGGCGCAAGAACGUAGUAGUAGAACGUUCUCUACUACAAUCCUACAAUCAAAACGGAGCGAAUCAACGAAAAAUAGAGGGGAGACAAAACAGAAAUGUUCGCAUUCUGUUUCAAGGAGCAGAAUUCAGAGAGCAUUCAAUGGGCUAUAAUAGAGUAAAAGCUGCUGAAAACAUACAUUAUUCUUGCAACAGUAAUUAUAAGAAAAUGUCAUAAUAUAAUUGAGCGUGAGAAUUUUAAUCCAACACAUCCUUGCUGCAAUUUAUUUUUAACUCCCGACUGCUCGCAGGGCAAAAAGACGGGGGUUAUGCGUUUCACUGCGACGAUCGUGCGAUCAGCUGAUAGGAGGAUGUCUGUAGCAAAUUUUCUUUGGAACGAUCGUCACCCUUGUCUUGACCAAUUUUUGAUAGGGUUUUCUGUAUGUGACGGACAGUCUUCUUAGACAUAGUUUGUUAAAAUCUAUAGUGAAUUCGCUUAGAAAACUAAUAUUUACGUUCAAACUUAUUUUUUCUAUAUCGAAUCAACCGUAGUGCUCGAUUAUCGACAACUUCACACAGUUGUACACUGCUACUUUCAUUUUGAGCUGUUGUUAAUUGCUAAUGUUAUCAUCACGGUAGGGUCCCAACCUCGCGUGGGUCAUACAUUCGAGAUUUUUGUCGAGACGUCUCGAGAAUACCAGUUUCUCGACUCGCAUACGAUAUCUUAUACAACAUCUAUGGUCGUUUGUCGUUUGACUUGAAAAUCGGGCCCUUCGGUUUAGUUUCAAGUGCUGAUGACUCGUAAAAAUCUCUGUCAUCUCGGUACAUUGACACUCGUGCGCGCAUCAGCUGUAUAAUAUAUUAUCAGUGCGAAGAUCAUUGUAAAAGCAAGCUAUUGAUCAAAUAAUGAGCUGGCUGGCGAAAAGGUUUUCCAUGUCGUAUGGAAGAGUUAAUGUGUCAACAGUAUUCCAUGGACCGAACAGAGCAAGAGUAGCUGCUCAACUUUCGCAAUGUUUUAGAGCUUGGUACAAUUGCUGCGCAAGGUUAAAAGUUUGAUCUCCUUACGCCAGAUAUUGGAGUCUAUUAAAAGCAGUUAUACGUAAUCCUGAUCCAGUGAUAGUAUUGGAAAACGCCAAUAACAAUUAUUUUUAUUUUUUUUCAAAUAGAAAUCAAACACUUUCAAGAACUUUAUUCUCCAUCAAUUCAACUUCAGUGUCCCUUUCAUAAUUGUUCCACAUGAUUGAAAUAUUUUCUGACAUGAAUUAUCUCAGUACAGGUAGUGAAGAAUAGUCAGUACGGGUAAUGAAGAAUUUGGAAAAAAUUACUUAUCUACUUAUAAAGAUCUUGGCAAUUCAAGAAAUGUGAGAAAAGGCACCUACUGGUUAAUUUUCUCAAAAUAUUGAUAUCGUUUGUGAUAAGGAUUUGUUAGAUAUGUGCAAGCCCGGUGACAUUGUUGGUAGCCAUCGAUGUUUGCUGGAAAAUAAGUGUACCACAGGAACUUUUAGAAAACAUAAUGCGUGUACAUCAUGAAUAUAUGAGCCUUUCAGAACGAUUUUAAAUACCAACAAUAUCACGCAGUUGAGUGAAGAAGCCAAUUCUACAAUAUUGCACAAAGACAUUGCGAUGUGCAAAAGAAUAGCAAGGAGCAACCCAUAAAAUGACAUUUUCGAGUUCCUCAGUGGAUUACUCACACCCUCAAUUUACCGUCAUGAUUACGUAAAAAAAAACGUUUUUGUGUCUUCUUUUGGGUGGUAAGGAAGGGUAAACAGGCUUUUUCACUGUUGACGAAGUUUAAGGAGUUGCAUACAUUUUUUUUCUUCUACACAGUGACAUAAAUAUUCUUUCUUGAUAAUGAUCCAUCAUUAGCGAAAUUUCAGCUGUUGCGGCUACAUGUUUUACACCGUGCCAAGAGCUAUAGCAACAACCGGGCGAGGUUCUUUUGGAGCUGGUUUUAAAAGCGGCUGUAACAUCCAAUCAAGAAACUGGAGAACGUAGGUUGGAAGCUGGUGCUGUGGUUUUUAUAGUUGCUGUAAUUGCCAACCGUUGAAUUACGAAGAUGCACAAUUUGAGGUUUAACCUCCAUCCUUCUACAAGAAUGCUGUAAUGAAAGAUGAUCGAGCGAGUCUCAUGAUGACCUUGAUGCCCAAGAGUUACACUUACCGGAAAAUUCCUAAAAAUUGAGGAGUCAAGUUCAGAAUACGGCGUCGCGAAAAAUGCCAUGUUUGGACGCCACCCAUGGCUCGCCCGCGUAUGCCUGAAAGUACAUUGUAUUUAGGAGAAUUAUUAUUUUUACCAUUUCUAAUGUUUAGCAACUACAACAGCAAUAUCAUCACAAUAAAUAAAACAAAUGAACCAAAAAUAAUAGCGACUGAUACAAUAUCAAUUUACGGGGACGACUAGCUGCUUUUAAACUUUUAUUCGUUGAACGUUCUUGUUCGAAAAAUGAGUCAAAUCGAGUUGGAAAGAGACGAAAGGAAAAUAAUCGUGCCGAUCACGAUAACAAUGAAAUAAGGACAAUAAAUAAAGAAAAUAAUGAUAAUUCAAAAAAGGAAUUUCAUUUCAAAUAAAAAUUCGUUCAUAACCAUUUGUUUAUAUAAGAGAGUCAUCAUGGUUCUUCACAAAAAUCGAAAUCGAUUCCUCUGGAGUUCUCGCGAUUUAUAGUCCAUUUCAUAUGAUCUCUUGAAGAUUACCUCAACGCACCGGUUGGCUAGCAAUAAGAUUCAAUGCAGAAACUAUGAAUGUACUCGAGUAAAUUGUGCUAUCGGAAAAGCUGAAUUAUUGUUUACUAUGAAGAUAAAAGGAAUGCUUGUAAGAAAACGGUGAGGCGGAGUGGUUUCCCAUUAGUGACGAAUGUCAAGGACCGUUUCUAUCAUCCUGAAGUCACUGAAAUGAAACAUGCUUACGGACUGCAUGAUGUAAAUAAGGAUUGCAUAGCUCGCGUGACAUUAGAAAAUCCCUAAAAAGUGGUUAAAUAAUUUAUCAAUCGGGAUUUCAAUUCAAUAUGUGGAGUGACAAUCUAAUAGUAAACACGACGCGUUACAUAAUCCGUACCCUGUUUUUAUCAAGCAGGAAUGAAUGCAUGCAUGAGGAGUUCAGAACUUUUUUAGGGAGACUUAUUAAAUAUAAUUUCAAAAAUUCAUAUUCCAUUACUGAUGUAUUGUAGUAAAAUAUUUCAAAGAAAUGACAUCACACCUGUCAGCUUAGUGUUGUAGGCUAAAUAUUCUCGAUGAAGUGCCCUUUCACGCUCUUUACAAGGUAUAGUUAAAGUAGAGCAGAUAUGUCAUAGUUUUUGUAGCAAUGUACAAAAUUAUGCUGGAUUCGCUGAAUAAUAAUCCAUGUUGCGUUUCAUUUGUUACAAAUUCUAAAUAUUUAAUAACAAAGAUUGAUUUGUUACAAUAAAAUGAAUCGAUUCAGUUGUUUAAUUGCGUUUCUGAUACUGAUUUUUGUGGCAAAGAAUAUAAGACUAGUUUUCGAAACCUCAUUAAUGGGAUGUUUUUUUUUUUUUUUUUAAAUUACAGUCAUCUUUAAGGAUUUGUGUGACAAUAAACUUAUAGAAUUAUCGAAUAUAUUAUUGCAGCAUCAAGCAUUGAGAAACUAUACUUGUAUAAACAAUUUUGAAAAGAACAAUGGCGUUAAUGUUCGAAUCAGAACAGAAGAAUUAUUGGAUUUCAUUGCACAGGAAAAUGAAUUAGGAAAUGUAAGUUUCUGUACAAAAUUAAUGACCACAAAAAUGUUGUUUGGACUUCGUUGUUUGUAUCAGAAAAAAAAAAAAUACUUCAAUGUAAACUAAAUAUGAAUGGUUUCAAUUUUCCUAGCAAAAACUCGAUCAUAUGAAGCAGUUUAGUUGUUCAACAACAAUGUCAAUUCUACAACGGAGCGGUCGCUUAAAACUUUUGAUUCAAUCAGUAGCAUAAAUAAUGAAAAAAUAUUAUAUAAGCUGAGAAGCGAUGUGGAUCAUUUGUACAAAAAUUGCUAAGGCCUGUGAACAUUUAAAAAAUACACGGAUUUGGAUAAAAAUUCACAAAUUGAUGCAUUGGUUCGUGGCAAGCUCGUCAAAAAGAUUGUUGAUAAUUUUGACAAUAAAUUCCCAAUGGGCAACGACAAAUUGGAUUCUAUGGUUAAAAGAUUUACCGUAGUCGCAGGUUUCACAUCCUUGAUGUUUUAUGAAACCCUCAUUCCACCGACAGAUGCUUUGAAAACAUGUAAAAAAGCAAAAGUUACAAACUCUCUGGUACUUUUGUUGGAAAAGUUAAUAAAAAGAGAAUCUCCGUUUUCUUCAAUAAUUGACGUUUGCAAUCACCAAUGGAGCAUGAGAAAUUGGAGAAUAAAUGGAUAAUUCAUUCCAUUAUUCUUCCAUUAUUGGUUUCGUUGGCAACCAGAAUAGCGAACAAACUUGAUGACAAAAUUCCAAAUGCUUUUUUGCCAGAGACUUAUGCAAAAAUAUUGUGUUUUCAUAUUGCAAAAUCUGUGCAGUUUUUCGAUUCGAGUUUUGUUGAUCUCGGCAUUGCGCCCGAUAUGAAAAUGAUCUCAAUGCUUAUAAGCAAAGCCUUCAUAACUCUUAGCUCACGGGAAUUCGUAAUUUGAUCGAUAUCUUCUCUCAGUGGUGUUCGGAAAAUUUUUAUUUAAAACAUUUUGAGCCACGUAGAUCGUUUCGUUAUGUAACCCAUCGCAGUUUUGUUCCUGAAACAAAGCGAUUCAGCUUUCGGAAUCGAAGCUUACAGAAAUCCUCAUUGGAAUCACGUGUUCAUAAUGAAAAUUGCACUCAUGGCUCAUUACGAGAAUGAAAAUUUAGUGUUGAAUUUAAUCGAUCAUUUAUCAAAAAAGAUAGGAACGAAUUUUGACAAACCUUGUUAUAAAAUUAUGGCAAAAACUAGAAAAGACUAAAGUUUCCCAACGAAUUUCUGUCACUAUCGAUACUUCCAACAGUAACAAAUAUGAGACUCUUUGCGAUGACGAUUUCGUAGUAUUGCCAGAUCUUACAAGAGAAUUGAAUCGAACACACGUUUCACUCAUCCCUCGAAAUUGCCUGGCAAUAAUGAGCAACGUUGCAGCCACAUUUUUAUCCGUUGCUGUAUAGUUUUUAUCGCGGGAACCUUUCAUGUACCUCAGUGUCUCAAAAAAAUCGAAUGUUUUUUUUUUUUUUUCAAAGAACAUUGAAAAAUCGUCAGAGUAUCUCUAGAAAAAGACCCUCUGAAAAUUUGAGCUGUUAAUAUUAAUAUUUAGAGGUGGCGCUUUGUAAUUUUCUAUUUUCCAUUUAAAUAUAACAUGAAAAAAUUU